rnacentral:lncRNA from 1 species
AUGACAGAUUCCACUCCACCACAUGUCUUCAUGAGAAGAGGCAAUACCAAGAAAUGCAAGCAGGCACCCAGCAACCCAGAGGCACGACAACAAGUGGGAGGAGCCACUGCAAAAAAAUGGAACAGGAAAAACAAAGAGCACAGCCGCAGUCCUGAGGCAGGAAAUGGCGCUCUUCACAGCCAUGAGAAAAUCAGUCUCUCUCCAGCUUCUUUGCACUUGCGGAGCCUGCGUAAACAGAAAGGGGGUCUGAAACAUCAGCGCUUCUGUCAGUUAUUCUGUUCUGCUGAAGAGUGAAGCUAGGAAUGAACACAUUAAUGAGUUAUCUGAUAUGCUGACACAGGCCUGGAACUGGACCGCGGGGGCAGGCUAAAUUGUUCUGCACAAAAAGCAGGAGAACAGGAGAGGAAGGAGGAGUCUUAGGGGUUACGGGGACCUCGAGCACACGGUGGGUGGCCGAAUGACUUGUAAGAAAGGAAGAUCUGAGAUCUCUUCAAAUCAGUCCAGGCCUCUGUGAUGUAAGCUAGUUGGAUGGUGGUGAUGGUUGCACAAUGUAGUGGAUGCUCUUACUGCCACUGAAUUGUACACUUUCAAAUGCUUAAAAUGGUAAAUUUUAUGUGUACUCGUGGUGGUUAAUUUUAUUUGUCAACUUGGCUGGGCUAAGGGAUGCCCAGAUCACUGGUAAAACAUAAUUUCUGCAUGUGUCUGUGAGGGUGUUUCCGGAAGAGAUCAGCAUUUGAAUGGAUAGCGUGAGUAAAGAAAAUCACCCUCACCGAUGCCUGUGGGCAUCAUCCAAUCCAUUGAGGUCCUGAAUAGAAUGAGAAGCCAGCAGAAGGGUGAAUUCAUUCUCUCUGCUUGAGCUGGGACAUCCAUCUUCUCCUGCACUUGGACAUCAGCGUUUCUGGCUCUCCCGCCUUCAGGCUUUGAGUGGAACUACUGGCUUUCCUGGGCCUCCAGCUCACAGAGAGGAGAUUGUGGGACUUCUCAACCUCCAUAAUUUCGCGUCAAUCCCUCAUAACUGUCUUUCUAUAUAUCUACCUAUAUCAUAUUGGUCUGUUUUUCUGGAGAACCCUAAGACAGUAUUUUACCACAAUAAAAAAUAAAAAGCAUUUGUGGAGGCCGGCCCA